GAAGUAUGGCUCGAAGGAUGGGUGGACAGAUGGAUGGUUGGUUGGAUGGUUGGAUGGAUGAUUGGAUGGAUAGAUGAAUAGCAAAUGGUUUAUGGAUGGAUAGAUAGAAGACAGAAAAGAAGAAAAAUGUGGUAGCCAAACAAGGCUGAAGGCAAAGCACCUGGACAGAACUGUCACCCUCACUUGCUGGGGGGGGGGGGGCACCCAGUGUGAAGUUAGAAGGUAUAAGCAAGAAGUUAUGAGUCUGCUAAUAGUCCCAGGCUUUGUUCCUGGAACUGUAACUUGGUUCCCUUCCACCACGGCAGGCCAUCUCUCUUUCCCAGAUCUUCUGUUUUCUCCUCAGGAAAUGGGAGUAGAAGAAAUCAUGAGGGAGACCUAAAUGUUCCAUGCAUGAAGGCACCAGUGAGAUCCCGCAGCCUCUGUGACUUCAGCAGAUCUGGAGAAUUCCAAGCAUAAGGAGCAUAUUUCCUCUGGAUCCAACACCAGGAACUGCACCUGGAACCAGCAUAAGAAGCAGUAGAAAAAGAUCACUAGUCCCUUGCUGGGCUUGCUGUGUCCUGAGUCCAGACUUCAGACAGGGUCUCACUGUGUUCCUCAGGCUGGACUCGAACUCC